rnacentral:rRNA from 1 species
UACGGGGGGGCAAGCGUUGUUCGGAAUUACUGGCGUAAAGGGCUCGUAGGCGGCCAACUAAGUCGGACGUGAAAUCCCUCGGCUCAACCGGGGAACUGCGUCCGAUACUGGAUGGCUUGAGUUCGGGAGAGGGAUGCGGAAUUCCAGGUGUAGCGGUGAAAUGCGUAGAUAUCUGGAGGAACACCGGUGGCGAAGGCGGCAUCCUGGACCGAUACUGACGCUGAGGAGCGAAAGCCAGGGGAGCAAAGCGGG